rnacentral:rRNA from 1 species
UACAGAGGUCUCAAGCGUUGUUCGGAUUCAUUGGGCGUAACGGGUGCGUAGGUGGCGGGGUAAGUCAGGUGUGAAAUUUCGGAGCUCAACUCCGAAACUGCAUUUGAUACUGCCUUGCUUGAGGACUGGAGAGGAGACUGGAAUUCACGGUGUAGCAGUGAAAUGCGUAGAGAUCGUGAGGAAGACCAGUGGCGAAGGCGGGUCUCUGGACAGUUCCUGACACUGAGGCACGAAGGCCAGGGGAGCAAACGGG